rnacentral:rRNA from 1 species
AUAGAUCAUUAUGCCUGGAACGGUUUAUGGUCCAAAUGAUUCGUCGCCGUAGGAUGAGACUGCGGCCUAUCAGCUUGUUGGUGAGGUAAUGGCCCACCAAGGCUAUUACAGGUACGGGCUCUGAGAGGAGAAGCCCGGAGAUGGGUACUGAGACACGGACCCAGGCCCUAUGGGGCGCAGCAGGCGAGAAACCUUUGCAAUGUGCGCAAGCACGACAAGGUUAAUCCGAGUGUUUCCUGCUAAAGGAAUCUUUUGUUAGUUCUAAAACCACUGAUGAAUAAGGGGUGGGCAAGUUCUGGUGUCAGCCGCCGCGGUAAAACCAGCACCUCAAGUGGUCAGGAUGAUUAUUGGGCCUAAAGCAUCCGUAGCCUGCUCUGUAAGUUUUCGGUUAAAUCUAUGUGCUCAACACAUAGGCUGCCGAAAAUACUGCAGAGCUAGGGAGUGGGAGAGGUAGACGGUACUCCGUAGGAAGGGGUAAAAUCCUUUGAUCUAUGGAUGACCACCAGUGGCGAAGGCGGUCUACCAGAACACGUUCGACGGUGAGGGAUGAAAGCUGGGGGAGCAAACCGGAUUAGAUACCCGGGUAGUCCCAGCUGUAAACUAUGCAAACUCGGUGAUGCAUUGGCUUGUGGCCAGUGCAGUGUCGCAGGGAAGCCGUUAAGUUUGCCGCCUGGGAAGUACGUACGCAAGUAUGAAACUUAAAGGAAUUGG